rnacentral:rRNA from 1 species
AUGAUGGAGAGUUUGAUCCUGGCUCAGGACGAACGCUGGCGGCGUGGAUUAGGCAUGCAAGUCGUACGGUAGGACUUUAUCGUAAGAUAGAGUUUUAGAGUGGCGAACGGGUGAGU